UACGUAGGUGGCGAGCGUUGUCCGGAAUUAUUGGGCGUAAAGAGCAUGUAGGCGGCUUAAUAAGUCGAGCGUGAAAAUGCGGGGCUCAACCCCGUAUGGCGCUGGAAACUGUUAGGCUUGAGUGCAGGAGAGGAAAGGGGAAUUCCCAGUGUAGCGGUGAAAUGCGUAGAUAUUGGGAGGAACACCAGUGGCGAAGGCGCCUUUCUGGACUGUGUCUGACGCUGAGAUGCGAAAGCCAGGGUAGCGAACGGGAUUAGAAACCCUGUAUCCGGCACUGACU
rnacentral:rRNA from 1 species